rnacentral:snoRNA from 1 species
AUCCCAAGAUGAGGAUACUUACAAAGUAACUCCUUGAAUCGCUCUCAAUCCUUAUACUAAGACUCAUCAUCUAGUUGUUGGAAAGUUGUGAUCUCGUUCCUCAACUU